UACGAAGGGGGCUAGCGUUGCUCGGAAUGACUGGGCGUAAAGCGUGCGCAGGCGGCUUUGCAAGACAGAUGUGAAAUCCCCGGGCUUAACCUGGGAACUGCAUUUGUGACUGCAUGGCUGGAGUGCGGCAGAGGGGGAUGGAAUUCCGCGUGUAGCAGUGAAAUGCGUAGAUAUGCGGAGGAACACCGAUGGCGAAGGCAAUCCCCUGGGCCUGCACUGACGCUCAUGCACGAAAGCGUGGGGAGCAAACAGG
rnacentral:rRNA from 1 species